UUUUUUUUUAUAAACCUUUUUACUAUAUUGCGACUACUUUUUUCCACCUAUUUCCUAUCCCUUAUAGUUACGUUGCAUGGGUUGUUUACUGGAUCGUUCAAGGUUUAGUGAUUUCUGCAAUAUGGGUCAUUGCCCAUGAAUGUGGCCACAAUGCCUUUAGUGAUUACCAUUUGGUAAAUGACACUAUUGGUUUUAUCCUCCAUUCUGCACUUUUAGUCCCAUAUUUCUCAUGGAAAAAUUGUCAUCACUCUAACACUGGUUCCCUUGAACGUGACAAUUUUUUUGUGCCAAGGCUUAAAUCCGAACUAAGAUGGUAUUAUAAAUACUUGAACAAUUCAUUAGGACAAGCAGUCACACUUGCCUGCACUCUCAUUCUUGGUGAGCCUUUGCACUUGGCAUUCAAUGUCUUCGGCAAACCUAGUGAUCUCUUUGCAUGUCAUUUUCAUCCAUAUGCACCUAUAUAUAAUGACAGUGAGAGAAAACAAAUUUACAUUUCAAAUGCAGGUGUCGUCUUGCUUUGGCACAAGGGCUGGCUUGGGUUAUAUACUUCUAUGGGGUACCACUCCUAAUUGCGAGAAACCUUUAUAUAUUAACCACUUUUUUGCACCAUACUCAUCCUUCAUUUCCACAUUAUGAUUCAUCCGAGUGGGAUUGGUUAAGAGGAGCUCUAGCUACUGUAGACAGAGACAAUGGUGUUUUACUAAAUAAAGUCUCACACCACAUUGCAGAUACUCAUGUUGUGCAUCAUCUAUUCCCAGCCAUUCCACAUUACCAUGCAGUGGAGGCGACCAAAGCUAUUUAGCCAUUGUUAGGAGAAUAUUACCAAUUUGAUAAUACCCCAGUUCAUAAGGCAAUAUGGAGGGAUUUUACGAAGUGCAUCUAUGUGGAGAAAGAUGAAGGAUCUCAAGAUAAGGGUGUUUUUUGGUAUAAAAAUAAGUUCUGAAAGUUGAACACCGAUAAUUAUUUACCUAAAUUGGUUUAAUGUUCAAUAAUACUCGUGCUAAUAAGUAUUUUGGAUUGUGUAUCGUAUUU
rnacentral:lncRNA from 1 species